CCUACGGGUGGCAGCAGUGGGGGAUAUUGCACAAUGGGGGGAACCCUGAUGCAGCGACGCCGCGUGGGUGAAGAAGCGCCUCGGCGCGUAAAGCCCUGUCAGCAGGGAAGAAAAUGACGGUACCUGAAGAAGAAGCCCCGGCUAACUACGUGCCAGCAGCCGCGGUAAUACGUAGGGGGCAAGCGUUAUCCGGAUUUACUGGGUGUAAGGGGGGCGCAGACGGCGAUGCAAGCCAGGAGUGAAAGCCCGGGGCUCAACCCCGGGACUGCUCUUGGAACUGCGUGGCUGGAGUGCAGGAGGGGCAGGCGGAAUUCAUGGUGUAGCGGUGAAAUGCGUAGAUAUCAGGAGGAACACCGGUGGCGAAGGCGGCCUGCUGGACUGCAACUGACGUUGAGGCCCGAAAGCGUGGGGAGCAAACAGGAUUAGAUACCCCAGUAGUC
rnacentral:rRNA from 1 species